rnacentral:rRNA from 1 species
CCGUCCUACGGGGCGCAGCAGUGGGGGAUAUUGCACAAUGGGGGGAACCCUGAUGCAGCGACGCCGCGUGUGGGAAGACGGUCCUCUGGAUUGUAAACCACUGUCCCCAGGGACGAAGAUGACGGUACCUGGGGAAGAAGCCCCGGCUAACUACGUGCCAGCAGCCGCGGUAAUACGUAGGGGGCAAGCGUUAUCCGGAUUCACUGGGUGUAAAGGGAGCGUAGACGGCCAUGCAAGCCUGGAGUGAAAGCCCGGGGCCCAACCCCGGGACUGCUCUGGGAACUGUGCGGCUGGAGUGCGGGAGG